rnacentral:misc_RNA from 1 species
AGAAUUCGUCUUCUGGUUACGGGGCCAUGGCUCAAAUGGGAGAGCGCGUGCUGAGGAAGCAUGAGGUCGUCGGUUCGAUCCCGUCUGGCUCCACCAGAUGGUUUGAUCACCGAGACUUGACCGUCGUCCGCGAAACAUCACUUCACAUCCUGCUAGUCUGGAUAGACAGCAGUUUGCGUGUUUUCUGACAUCGUAAAGAGGAGAUCGAUCCGAGUUGGGUCGUGCAGCAUAUCGUUGCGCGAGCCUUCAUUAUCUCCGGAUCAUUUCGGCGCUCGCUUCCAGCCGUGAGGUUGGAUGCGGGUUGUAAAUGAUCCUUUUAGCGAAGCUUGACCGCCUCGCUAUCGGAACGAUCUUACGAAGCAAGCUGGUCUUUCUAGUCAAUGUCCGGCUGCGGAUAGCGUUCAUCGAGGGCGCGUGCCGCAAGGCAAUUCUGCAGACAACAUUCUGCCGAGUGUGUGGACAUUGAUAAUGAGAGCAAUCAAGUGCCUUAAGGGUGUUCGGUGGAUGCCUUGGCGCUGAGAGGCGAUGAAGGACGUGCUACGCUGCGAUAAGCCGUGGGGAGCUGCGAAGAAGCUUUGAUCCGCGGAUUUCCGAAUGGGGAAAAACCCGG